UGACAGCAAGAAGUUCAAAGGUGACA
rnacentral:piRNA from 1 species